rnacentral:lncRNA from 1 species
CGCUGGAGAAGCUGGAGUCGUGGGAGUCGCGAUCGCCGCCGGGACCUGCAAAAGAAGUCUAAAUUAGAGGUGGGGUUGCUCUGGCAAAAUCCUCUGACGCUCAAGUCAGUUCUCUGCCUCAACAAGAAUGGAGUACUCGAACAAAAAUUUUAGCAAAAUUUUUAGGUAAAAAAUGAGAGCUUAGAGAAUAACGUAUCUGGGGUCCCCCCUUUUAUAGACGGGGGGAGCAAAGGAUUGAUAG